rnacentral:rRNA from 1 species
GACGAACGCUGGCGGCGUGCUUAACACAUGCCAGUCGAACGGAAAGGCCCUGCUUUUGUGGGGUGCUCGAGUGGCGAACGGGUGAGUAACACGUGAGUAACCUGCCCUUGACUUUGGGAUAACUUCAGGAAACUGGGGCUAAUACCGGAUACGAGCUCCUGCUGCAUGGUGGGGGUUGGAAAGUUUCGGCGGUUGGGGAUGGACUCGCGGCUUAUCAGCUUGUUGGUGGGGUAGUGGCUUACCAAGGCUUUGACGGGUAGCCGGCCUGAGAGGGUGACCGGCCACAUUGGGACUGAGAUACGGCCCAGACGCCUACGGGAGGCAGCAGUGGGGAAUAUUGCACAAUGGGCGGAAGCCUGAUGCAGCAACGCCGCGUGCGGGAUGACGGCCUUCGGGUUGUAAACCGCUUUCGCCUGUGACGAAGCGUGAGUGACGGUAAUGGGUAAAGAAGCACCGGCUAACUACGUG